AGGACGAACGCUGGCGGCGCGCUUAACACAUGCAAGUCGAACGGGUGUCCUUCGGGGCAUCAGUGGCGGACGGGUGCGUAACACGUAAGCGACCUGCCUUCAGGUGGGGGAUAACCCCGGGAAACCGGGGCUAAUACCGCAUGAGCUCUCCGGGCUGCAUGGUUUGGAGAGGAAAGCUUCUGUAAGGGAGCGCUUGAAGAGGGGCUUGCGGCGUAUCAGCUAGUUGGCGAGGUAACGGCUCACCAAGGCGACGACGCGUAGGGGGUCUGAGAGGACGGCCCCCCACAUUGGGACUGAGAUACGGCCCAGACUCCUACGGAGGCAGCAGUGGGGAAUCUUGCGCAAUGGUCUAACGACUGACGCAGCGACGCCGCGUGCGGGAGGAAGGCCUUGGUCGUAAACGCUGUCGGGAGGAAGAAGCGACCCGGGGGAAAUACCCGGUCUGACGGUACCUCCGAAAGGAAGCACCGGCUAACUCCGCGCCAGCAGCCGC
rnacentral:rRNA from 1 species